rnacentral:rRNA from 1 species
GCAAGUCUGAUGGAGCACGCCGCGUGAGUGAAGAAGGUUUUCGGAUCGUAAAGCUCUGUUGUUGGUGAAGAAGGAUAGAGGCAGUAACUGGUCUUUAUUUGACGGUAAUCAACCAGAAAGUCACGGCUAACUACGUGCCAGCAGCCGCGGUAAUACGUAGGUGGCAAGCGUUGUCCGGAUUUAUUGGGCGUAAAGCGAGCGCAGGCGGAAUGAUAAGUCUGAUGUGAAAGCCCACGGCUCAACCGUGGAACUGCAUCGGAAACUGUCAUUCUUGAGUGCAGAAGAGGAGAGUGGAACUCCAUGUGUAGCGGUGGAAUGCGUAGAUAUAUGGAAGAACACCAGUGGCGAAGGCGGCUCUCUGGUCUGCAACUGACGCUGAGGCUCGAAAGCAUGGGUAGCGAACAGGAUUAGAUACCCUGGUAGUCCAUGCCGUAAACGAUGAGCGCUAGGUGUUGGGGACUUUCCGGUCCUCAGUGCCGCAGCAAACGCAUUAAGCGCUCCGCCUGGGGAGUACGACCGCAAGGUUGAAACUCAAGGAAAUUUGACGGGGG